UACGGAGGGUGCAAGCGUUAAUCGGAAUUACUGGGCGUAAAGCGUGCGCAGGCGGUUUUGUUAAGUCUGCUGUGAAAUCCCCGAGCUCAACUUGGGAAUUGCAGUGGAUACUGGCAGGCUGGAGUAUGGUAGAGGAAGGUGGAAUUCCCGGUGUAGCAGUGAAAAUGCGUAGAGAUCGGGAGGAACACCAGUGGCGAAGGCGGCCUCUGGACCAAUACUGACGCUCAUGCACGAAAAGCGUGGGGGAGCAAACAGG
rnacentral:rRNA from 1 species